UACAGAGGUCUCAAGCGUUGUUCGGAUUCAUUGGGCGUAAAGGGUGCGUAGGUGGCGCGGUAAGUCGGGUGUGAAAUCUCGGAGCUUAACUCCGAAUUGAUCAUUCGAUACUGCCGUGCUCGAGGACUGGAGAGGAGACUGGAAUUCAUGGUGUAGCAGUGAAAUGCGUAGAGAUCAUGAGGAAGACCAGUGGCGAAGGCGGGUCUCUGGACAGUUCCUGACACUGAGGCACGAAGGCCAGGGGAGCAAACGGG
rnacentral:rRNA from 1 species